GCACUGCUGAAGAGUCCCAAACAGGACCAAAUAGCUGUCCAGUGC
rfam:Echinostoma caproni strain Egypt genome assembly, scaffold: ECPE_scaffold0000370